GGACUGGUGAGUAACGCGUAAGGAACCUGCCUAUUAGAGGGGAAUAACAGGUGAGAAAUCAUUGCUAAUACCGCAUAUGCCAUAGAUAUCACAUGAUAACAGUGGGAAAGGAGCAAUCCGCUAAUAGAUGGCCUUGCGUCUGAUUAGAUAGUUGGUGGGGUAACGGCCUACCAAGUCGACGAUCAGUAGCCGGACUGAGAGGUUGAACGGCCACAUUGGGACUGAGAUACGGCCCAGACUCCUACGGGAGGCAGCAGUCGGGAAUAUUGCGCAAUGGAGGAAACUCUGACGCAGUGACGCCGCGUAUAGGAAGAAGGUUUUCGGAUUGUAAACUAUUGUCGUUAGGGAAGAGAAAGGACAGUACCUAAGGAGGAAGCUCCGGCUAACUACGUGCCAGCAGCCGCGGUAAUACGUAGGGAGCGAGCGUUACCCGGAAUUAUUGGGUGUAAAGGGUGCGUAGACGGGAGAACAAGUUAGUUGUGAAAUACCUCGGCUCAACUGAGGAACUGCAACUAAAACUGUACUUCUUGAGUGCAGGAAAGGUAAGUGGAAUUCCUAGUGUAGCGGUGAAAUGCGUAGAUAUUAGGAGGAACACCAGUGGCGAA
rnacentral:rRNA from 1 species